rnacentral:rRNA from 1 species
UACGAAAGGAGCAAGUGUUAUUCAGAUUAACUGGGCGUAAAGGGCUCGUAGGCGGUUUGUCGCGUCGGGAGUGAAAACCAGGUGCUUAACACCUGGCUUGCUUUCGAUACGGGCAGACUAGAGGUAUUCAGGGGAGAACGGAAUUCCUGGUGUAGCGGUGAAAUGCGCAGAUAUCAGGAGGAACACCGAUGGCGAAGGCGGUUCUCUGGGCCGAUACUGACGCUGAGGAGCGAAAGCGUGGGGAGCGAACAGG